GUGCCAGCAGCCGCGGUAAUACAGAGGGUGCAAGCGUUAAUCGGAUUGACUGGGCGUAAAGGGCGCGUAGGUGGUUAUUUAAGUUAGAUGUGAAAUCCCUGGGCUUAACCUAGGAACUGCAUUUAAUACUGGAUAACUAGAGUAUAGGAGAGGGCAGUGGAAUUUCCGGUGUAGCGGUGAAAUGCGUAGAUAUCGGAAGGAACACCAGUGGCGAAGGCGACUGCCUGGCCUAAUACUGACACUGAGGCGCGAAAGCGUGGGUAGCAAACAGGAUUAGAUACCCUGGUAGUCCACGCAGUAAACGAUGAAUACUAGGCGAGGGGUUUGCAUGACAAACUUCGUGCCGUAGCUAACGCGAUAAGUAUUCCGCCUGGGGAGUACGGCCGCAAGGUUAAAACUUAAAGGAAUUGACGGGG
rnacentral:rRNA from 1 species